rnacentral:rRNA from 1 species
UACGUAGGGUCCGAGCGUUGUCCGGAAUUAUUGGGCGUAAAGAGCUCGUAGGCGGUCCGUUAAGUCGGAAGUGAAAUCUCAAGGCUCAACCUUGAAAUCGCUUUCGAUACUGGCGGACUUGAGGCAGGUAGGGGAAGGUGGAGUUCCUGGUGUAGCGGUGAAAUGCGCAGAUAUCAGGAGGAACACCGGUGGCGAAGGCGGCCUUCUGGGCCUGUUCUGACGCUGAGGAGCGAAAGCGUGGGGAGCAAACAGG